UAGGGAAUCUUCCGCAAUGGACGCAAGUCUGACGGAGCAACGCCGCGUGAGUGAAGAAGGAUUUCGGUUCGUAAAACUCUGUUGUUAGAGAAGAACAGCGCAUAGAGUAACUGUUAUGCGUGUGACGGUAUCUAACCAGAAAGCCACGGCUAACUACGUGCCAGCAGCCGCGGUAAUACGUAGGUGGCAAGCGUUGUCCGGAUUUAUUGGGCGUAAAGCGAGCGCAGGCGGUUAGAAAAGUCUGAAGUGAAAGGCAGUGGCUCAACCAUUGUAGGCUUUGGAAACUGUUUAACUUGAGUGCAGAAGGGGAGAGUGGAAUUCCAUGUGUAGCGGUGAAAUGCGUAGAUAUAUGGAGGAACACCAGUGGCGAAGGCGACUCUCUGGUCUGUAACUGACGCUGAGGCUCGAAAGCGUGGGUAGCAAACAGG
rnacentral:rRNA from 1 species